rnacentral:tRNA from 2 species
UAAUUUGAACUGUGACACGAGGAUUUUCAGUCCUCUGCUCUACCAGCUGAG